rnacentral:lncRNA from 1 species
GAGUCGAGCUCGAGCUUAAGUUUAUCAUUAUAUCGACUUGACUCGAUUACACCCCUAAGUGCUACCUCUGCUAUUAAACUUAAAUAAUUUUAAAUCUUAAUUUUCCGUUAGAAGCAAUUUAAAAAAAAAAAAAAAAAAAAAAAAGGGAGAAUAAAAAAAUCUGGGUUUUCUCGUCGUUAGGAGUCCGUAUCCAUAUGUGGUUCAAAACCUAGGGAAGGAGAAUAGAGUUGUAAAUUGUAAUUGUGCUUAUCUCGGUAACUCAACUCAGGCAGCUCUACCUGUUCCGGAGCGAGCGUAAGUGGGGCAACGCAUUUUCCUCGUCGUCCCAAUCCCAAACUUGUAAUUCCCAGCUAGGAAAUGUCUCACUCUCACAAAUUGGUCAUCAAGUAAUAAUUA